rnacentral:rRNA from 1 species
GAUGAACGCUAGCUACAGGCUUAACACAUGCAAGUCGAGGGGCAGCAUGAACUUAGCUUGCUAAGUUUGAUGGCGACCGGCGCACGGGUGAGUAACACGUAUCCAACCUGCCGAUGACUCGGGGAUAGCCUUUCGAAAGAAAGAUUAAUACCGGAUGAUGUCGUAAGACCAAAGAUUUAUCGCCCAGGGAUGAGCCCGCGUAAGAUUAGGUAGUUGGUGAGGUAAAGGCUCACCAAGCCGACGAUCUUUAGCUGGUCUGAGAGGAUGAUCAGCCACACUGGGACUGAGACACGGCCCAG